rnacentral:lncRNA from 1 species
CUGUUUUUCAAGAUGCUACUGCUGCUGAUUUGUAAAUUUUGUAAAUUCCACACAGAACUAAGUUAGAACUGAGAAGAGACUUUCACUAUGUACUGAACCUAUGAGACACUGAAAACAAGGAAUUCCAGUACAAAAGAGGUAGCUGGAAAAUAUGGGAAGAUGAGAAAGAAGGAUAUGGUAGAGUAGAUAGAGAACAGAGGCUAAAAUGGACAAGUUGUUUCAACUCUACUUAAUGUCACUAGGCUUCUUCUAAAACACCAGAAAACAGAGCCUUCAGGCUGGGCAAGUUAGUAGCUGGCUCCUGCAGUUACAGG